AAUACAUCUAUUGUAUUAAUUUUACUAUAAUGAAGUAGAGAAAAGUGAAGUAAAGUUUUGUAAAUGACAACACCGGACAAUAAAUUACUGAAUUACUGAAUAUCUUUUGUCAAAAUUUGUAUGACCGAUCAAACGUACCAACUUAAAAACAAUGAUAGUUUGUGUAAUGUCACCGAUAGAACACCUUUUGGCGGAGAUAUAUGUUAUCUGUGGUUAAAUUAUUUUCUCUAAUCUAUGUCAUGUUUAUCGCCAAACCGCUCUAUUCGCGAAAGAAUGGCAGAUCCGUUUUGUUUUCUUUAGCUCAUUAUUAAUUACGUGAUCUGCAAUUAGAAUUAUUUAAAUAUUCGCUUCAUUUUAAUCUGCUUAAACAAUACGACAGGCAAUUCUGCGCCGACGCCGGUCAUGCAUGAGCCGUCCAUAUUCGCCAUUUUGUCAUUUGUCCUUUAAGUAAGAAAAUGCAAACAAAACAUUAUUUGCCCUAAACACGCGUUACUCUCAGAUAAUAUUGCCGAAUGCCGACAAAGUGAUCUUGUUUUAUCAAACUGAACUCCGAACUGCAAUUGCAAUGUAAUUUUCCGAUAGCGAAAGUGAGGUUAUGAAAUUGACAUGACAUUUAGUGAAUGCAAUGCAAUGGACAUGUGUUUUGUUGUGUUUCUCAUCAAGAUAAUAGAAGAAUCUAGUGCUCAUACUCAUGAUCUAAUGAGCAAACAGCCCAUGCAAAGGAUGUCUUAUCGGGCUAUGCCUCAAUUGAUAAAGUGAACUAAUUGCCUACUUCAAAAGCAGUUUUGCAUGAAAGUUUCAACAUCUAAUUGGAAUUUCUCUGGAAAGUUUACAAUGUCCGAUAUUUCUACACAUCUGCCACAAAUUUAUGGAAAUCAAUAUUUAUAGAAACUGAACAUACCUUGGUUAAACGUAUAUGAAAUGGAUUAUCAUCAUUGAAGAACAUCAACCAGCUGUCGGCAAUGUGCAGGUUGACUGAGGAAUUUUCCGGAGUGUCUUUUUAUGGACUGUACUCCGUCUUAGCACAAUUCCCAAGUUUUACCCGAGAGGCCACGCUUCAGUUGGACCGUCUUCCAUAUAUCUACUGACUUCAUAUAAAUGAAAGUGUACUGAGGACUCACUAAUCUGCACUACCAGUAACAAAGUAAUCCGACAAUCAGACUGGACCCGGUCAUGUUAGGUACCAAAGGAAAACGAAAAUAUCAUUGGUUCUAUACUGAUGCAUGACUUCGCUCGGAACGCGGCAAGAAUUAACAAUGGAAGAAAAUACUACAGACGUGUUUAUUAACAAUAAAGUUAUUUUUGUUUUUAUGAAAUAGCGAUUGAAUAAAAAUAUUA